AGUGAACGCUGGCGGUAGGCCUAACACAUGCAAGUCGAACGGCAGCACAGUAAGAGCUUGCUCUUACGGGUGGCGAGUGGCGGACGGGUGAGGAAUACAUCGGAAUCUACUUUUUCGUGGGGGAUAACGUAGGGAAACUUACGCUAAUGCCGCAUACGACCUACGGGUGAAAGCAGGGGAUCUUCGGACCUUGCGCGAUUGAAUGAGCCGAUGUGGGAUUAGCAAGUUGGCGGGGUAAAGGCCCACCAAGGGGACGAUCCGUAGCUGGUCUGAGAGGAUGAUCAGCCACACUGGAACUGAGACACGGUCCAGACUCCUACGGGAGGCAGCAGUGGGGAAUAUUGGACAAUGGGCGCAAGCCUGAUCCAGCCAUACCGCGUGGGUGAAGAAGGCCUUCGGGUUGUAAAGCCCUUUUGUUGGGAAAGAAAAGCAGCAGGUUAAUACCCCGCUGUUCUGACGGUACCCAAAGAAUAAGCACCGGCUAACUUCGUG
rnacentral:rRNA from 1 species